GGAAAGGCGCGCGAUACAGGGUGACAGCCCCGUACACAAAAAUGCACAUGCUGUGAGCUCGAUGAGUAGGGCGGGACACGUGGUAUCCUGUCUGAAUAUGGGGGGACCAUCCUCCAAGGCUAAAUACUCCUGACUGACCGAUAGUGAACCAGUACCGUGAGGGAAAGGCGAAAAGAACCCCGGCGAGGGGAGUGAAAAAGAACCUGAAACCGUGUACGUACAAGCAGUGGGAGCACGCUUAGGCGUGUGACUGCGUACCUUUUGUAUAAUGGGUCAGCGACUUAUAUUCUGUAGCAAGGUUAACCGAAUAGGGGAGCCGAAGGGAAACCGAGUCUUAACUGGGCGUUAAGUUGCAGGGUAUAGACCCGAAACCCGGUGAUCUAGCCAUGGGCAGGUUGAAGGUUGGGUAACACUAACUGGAGGACCGAACCGACUAAUGUUGAAAAAUUAGCGGAUGACUUGUGGCUGGGGGUGAAAGGCCAAUCAAACCGGGAGAUAGCUGGUUCUCCCCGAAAGCUAUUUAGGUAGCGCCUCGUGAAUUCAUCUCCGGGGGUAGAGCACUGUUUCGGCAAGGGGGUCAUCCCGACUUACCAACCCGAUGCAAACUGCGAAUACCGGAGAAUGUUAUCACGGGAGACACACGGCGGGUGCUAACGUCCGUCGUGAAGAGGGAAACAACCCAGACCGCCAGCUAAGGUCCCAAAGUCAUGGUUAAGUGGGAAACGAUGUGGGAAGGCCCAGACAGCCAGGAUGUUGGCUUAGAAGCAGCCAUCAUUUAAAGAAAGCGUAAUAGCUCACUGGUCGAGUCGGCCUGCGCGGAAGAUGUAACGGGGCUAAACCAUGCACCGAAGCUGCGGCAGCGACGCUGAUGCGUUGUUGGGUAGGGGAGCGUUCUGUAAGCCUGCGAAGGUGUGCUGUGAGGCAUGCUGGAGGUAUCAGAAGUGCGAAUGCUGACAUAAGUAACGAUAAAGCGGGUGAAAAGCCCGCUCGCCGGAAGACCAAGGGUUCCUGUCCAACGUUAAUCGGGGCAGGGUGAGUCGACCCCUAAGGCGAGGCCGAAAGGCGUAGUCGAUGGGAAACAGGUUAAUAUUCCUGUACUUGGUGUUACUGCGAAGGGGGGACGGAGAAGGCUAUGUUGGCCGGGCGACGGUUGUCCCGGUUUAAGCGUGUAGGCUGGUUUUCCAGGCAAAUCCGGAAAAUCAAGGCUGAGGCGUGAUGACGAGGCACUACGGUGCUGAAGCAACAAAUGCCCUGCUUCCAGGAAAAGCCUCUAAGCAUCAGGUAACAUCAAAUCGUACCCCAAACCGACACAGGUGGUCAGGUAGAGAAUACCAAGGCGCUUGAGAGAACUCGGGUGAAGGAACUAGGCAAAAUGGUGCCGUAACUUCGGGAGAA
rnacentral:rRNA from 1 species